rnacentral:rRNA from 1 species
CGGAUUUGGCGGGUGCUAUACAUGCAAGUCGAGCGAAUGGAUUAAGAGCUUGCUCUUAUGAAGUUAGCGGCGGACGGGUGAGUAACACGUGGGUAACCUGCCCAUAAGACUGGGAUAACUCCGGGAAACCGGGGCUAAUACCGGAUAACAUUUUGAACCGCAUGGUUCGAAAUUGAAAGGCGGCUUCGGCUGUCACUUAUGGAUGGACCCGCGUCGCAUUAGCUAGUUGGUGAGGUAACGGCUCACCAAGGCAACGAUGCGUAGCCGACCUGAGAGGGUGAUCGGCCACACUGGGACUGAGACACGGCCCAGACUCCUACGGGAGGCAGCAGUAGGGAAUCUUCCGCAAUGGACGAAAGUCUGACGGAGCAACGCCGCGUGAGUGAUGAAGGCUUUCGGGUCGUAAAACUCUGUUGUUAGGGAAGAACAAGUGCUAGUUGAAUAAGCUGGCACCUUGACGGUACCUAACCAGAAAGCCACGGCUAACUACGUGCCAGCAGCCGCGGUAAUACGUAGGUGGCAAGCGUUAUCCGGAAUUAUUGGGCGUAAAGCGCGCGCAGGUGGUUUCUAAGUCUGAUGUGGAAAGCCCACGGCUCCAACCGUGGAGGGUCAUUGAAAACUGGGAGGACUUGAGUUGCAGAAGAAGGAAGUGGAUUUCAUGUGGUAGCCGUGGAAAUGCGUAGAGAUUAGGAGGACAACCGUGGCGAAGGGGAUUUUUGGUUCGUUAAUGACCAUGAGGCGGGAAAGGCUGGGGAGCAAACAGGGUUAGGUUACCUGGGUAUCCAAGCCGUAAAAGAUGGAUGGUAAAUGUUAGAGGGUUUUCGCCCUUUUGUGGUGAAGGUUAAGGCUUUAGGCAUUCGCCUGGGGAGGUAGGGCGCAAGGGUGAAAAUUAAAGGAAAUGAAGGGGGCCCGCACCAGGGGUGGGGCCAGUGGUUUAAUUUGGAGGAAAGGGGAGAACCUUAACCGGUUUUGAACUUCUUUGACAACCCUAGGGGUUGGGGUUUUCCUUUGGGGGCCGAAUGACCGGUGGGGCCUGGUUGUUGUUCGGUUGGGUUGUGGGAAGGUGGGGUAAGUUCCGGAAAGGGGGCCACCCCUGAUUUUUGGUGCCCUCCAUUAGGUGGGCAAUUUAAGGGGAAUGCCGGGGGCCAACCGGAAGAAGGGGGGGAAGAAGUUAAAUUCUUCUGCCCCUUUUGACCUGGGGUACCCAACUGGUACAAUGGGAGGUACAAAGGGGUGCAAGACCGGGGGGGGGGGGUUAUUUUCUAAAACCGUUUUCCGUUUGGGUUGUUGGGUGCAAAUUGCCUACCAGAAGGCGGGAUUGGUUGUUAUUGGGGGUUCGCCAGGCGCGGGGAAUAAGUUUCCGGGCCUUGUACACACCCCCCGUCACCACCAGGGGGUUUGUAC